CUCAUUUCUGUACUUGAUUGUAAUUUACGGUAACUGAGGUGACUCACUGCUCCACUUUACUGUCCCAUACGGUAACUGGAGCGUUACGUCACUCGUCACGCGUUUUCGCGGGAAAUCACCUGGCUGCUGCGGCACUGUUAAAUAUCCAAGAAAAUGCUUUUUAAAAAUGUUUUUGUGCUCCUCUGCUUGGAUACACAUGUUCUCACAGCCUCUCAAGAAUGAUCUUCUUCAGUGAUGGUGUGAUGAGGCCAAACGCCACUCUGACCUUUGCACCCUCCCAGCGUUACAGUGGCAGUACAGACACUGGUAUCCUCUACCCGAGUGGGUUUGCCCUGCUCCCUGCGUGAGGUCAGCACACUUCCUCACAGCAUGACCUCUGAUCCCAUCACCGCCUCACUACUCUCAACCCUCCAUUCACUCACUCAGCUGGAGCCACAGCUAAAGAUUGCUCUGAGUGACGGCUGUGGUCUGGAACUGCUCCACCCCACCCCACACCACCACCCCACCCCACCAUCUCAUGGGACUCCGGAUGGAGGAAUGCGGCAGGCUUUGGGAGAAGACAAGCCUGCAGCUCCACACCCUCCUCCCUCCCAGCUCUCCCCUGUCUGCUCAUCCUCUCCCAGUCACGCACAGCUAAUCCCAGGCAUCUAUCGAGUACUGACCGUAUCUGCUGAUACUGCGUGGGAAGCUGGCUGAGGAAGGAAUGUUGAAAGACGACAUCUGUUUGGACACCAAGGCCACAACACAGCGCUCAGACACCUGGGAGAUGAAGAACAUCUUGAGGGAAAGGCAACAGGACAACAGGCCAUUGAUUAUGAACCUGGACUCAAUCCCAAGCCUGAAAAUUUGAAUGCAAAAAGUUUGACCUGUCAGUGUUGGAUAGAUGUAUGCUCAGAGGUCUCCUUUUCUGUCAAAGAUAGAAAGACAGAGACCAUAGAAAACCCCUUCUGUCUGGAAAGCAGCAGAGCUCUUCAGCAUUCAUGAGGCAGUGGUACACUGACCUUCAUCCCAUAACCUGAACCUCUCUCCCCUCCUGAGGCCUGAUGUGCCGCUGGCUUGGACGUUUUCCAAGGUCAGGUGGAGGGCCUCAGUCCUGUGGGGAGGUGAUGAGGUGAUAUGGCCAAUGCCCUCUACUGUUAAUGAGUGUAUCUUGAAGGACUACAGGGGGUUGAAGUAAGCCAGAGAGCUUGAGGUAAAAGGGUCUCACACCAUCCACCUGCAUAGGUGUGUUUGUGUGUGUGUUUAUGUUUGUUUGUGUGUUUAAAGCUGAAGAGCAGUUGGCGGCGAAAGGGAUGUACAGUAGAAGAGGGGCCGUAUUUUCAUCUUCCUUCUGUUGCACAGCUGAAAGAUCCACCACUGUUUAAAUGAAAAUUAGAGACAAAGAUCACUGCUGUGUAAUUAUCUGUGAGGGCAAACCUGCAAGUAAUUUUCUUGUAGGUUUAUUGAUUUACACAGAGUGAGAUGGAUAGGUUAGCUUGUUGUAAUCACAUCUUCUCUUCUGUCACCUGUCUCAGCCUCUUGGUAUCAACACUGCUGUAACUAGUCAAUAAAGUGAAAAUAAAUGGAUGAACUACA